rnacentral:rRNA from 1 species
UAGGGAAUCUUCCGCAAUGGGCGAAAGCCUGACGGAGCAACGCCGCGUGAGUGAUGAAGGUCUUCGGAUCGUAAAACUCUGUUAUUAGGGAAGAACAAAUGUGUAAGUAACUAUGCACGUCUUGACGGUACCUAAUCAGAAAGCCACGGCUAACUACGUGCCAGCAGCCGCGGUAAUACGUAGGUGGCAAGCGUUAUCCGGAAUUAUUGGGCGUAAAGCGCGCGUAGGCGGUUUUUUAAGUCUGAUGUGAAAGCCCACGGCUCAACCGUGGAGGAUCAUUGGAAACUGGAAAACUUGAGUGCGGAAGAGGAAAGUGGAAUUCCAUGUGUAGCGGUGAAAUGCGCAGAGAUAUAGAGGAACACCAGUAGCGAAGGCGACUUUCUGGUCUGUAACUGACGCUGAUGUGCGAAAGCGGGGGGAUCAAACAGG